rnacentral:tRNA from 1 species
GCAUCCGUAGCUCAGCUGGAUAGAGUACUCGGCUACGAACCGAGCGAGCCGCAAGGCGAGUAAUCCUCCCGGAUGCACCA